GCAGGGUAUUUUCUGGGAAGGCAAAGCCAUAGCUAACCAGCAUGCAUGGCAAAGCAGGAGGGAGAAGAGAGUGGUCUAAGAAUUCCAACAAGCCACAGAGAGGACAAUAGACAAUGAAUACAGGAGCAAUAGGAAAUAAAUAGUAUUUGUAAGGGAAAAGUUUUGGCCUUUGGAAUGCAACAGAAAACAACAGACAUUGAAAGAAAAAUAAGCAAAUAUUUCCUAGAAGAAGCUAGGAUACGCCUGAAAUCCAGCCGUAGGACAGCAGGAUUCCCGACGGAACCGUGUCAAUGCAGCGAUCGCAUUUUAAAGAGCGAGGCAGCGUUUGAGAAGUGUUGGAAGAGGGGGCGGGGAGCGGAGCUGCCCCUCUGCCUUGGACACAAGGCAGCUCUGACACAAACAGCUCCCACUGAACUGGCAGCUCCCGCCGCACGCACGAUCCAGCUUCCGCCUCUGGAUGUUUGCGUUGGGAUCCCGACCAGCUCCCACCCAAAUCGAUGGAUUUCGCUGUAGGCACCAAAGUGAGACCGAAGUACUUUCGGUCUUAAUUGUCAGAUAAGCAUAAAAUCUCUGGGAAAAAAAAAAUUAUAUCGUUAUUGGCACAGGCUAAUUACAAGACAUAACAGCAAAAUAAAUAAAUGAAAAAAAAAAAAAAAAAAAAAAAGGUGGAGAUGCCCAGACUUGUGCUGUGGCCAAACCAGUAGGUGUACCUAGAGUUACACCUAUGGGCUCUCCCUGCACGGGGACUGUGCAAACAAGGAAGCUCCGUGCAGGAGGGAGACUCAUUUACCAGGAAUACUUCGACACUCAAGGCAAAUCAGGAGUGUGGCCAAGGUGUAAUAUUUUAAUUUUAUUUUAUUUUUUCAAGUUGCUGGCAAAUAAAUUUCUCUUUCUUCUCAUGG